ensembl:lncRNA
GACGUUGUCCCGGAGAGCUGCAGGCUGAGGUGUGGAGAACACCCCGCGAAGGAAAUCUCUUACGGGCUUCCCUGCUGGCUAAGCUGACCCGAGGCUGUUUCCAUCUCUUGGCUGUUGCAAAUGCUGUGGCGAUGCACCCGGACGUGCAGGAAGCUUUGUGAGUUCGUGCUUUUGUUUCCUGAAGGUCUCCUGAAUGCGAGGUUGACACAAGGCCAGCUGGGUUCUCACACCCGCCACGGCUUUGAACCUCUCGCGAGAUCACGCCUCACGUAGUUUCUGGAAAACUCCGUGGAACGCCUGCCUGCGAGAAGGUGAGAGUGAGAAAUGCAGAUCUCUUACUGUCGUCAAGAAAGUGGUUUUGACCGUUUGUUCUCCGAUCCCCUGAGAGGUUCCAGGACCUCGCUCUGAGAAUCACUGUCUGGGACUCCUUUCGGGAAGCCGCCCCCCGCCCCCCGACCCCUGAGCCUCACCGGCCGCGACGGCGGUGGGGCUGCCCCAGGCCUGGGAGUCGACGUGGUGGCCCGGGUGCUGCGCGCUCCGCGGCGGGCCCUCCCAGCUGCUGUCGGCGCUGAAGGCAACGGGGUGUCCCGCGUGUCUGCGUGCAUCCCCCCAUCUCUCCAGCACAUCCUUCUGGGGCCAGGAGCGUCGUCAUGGCGACCAGUGGCCACCUUGUCAAUGGAGCAGAUGGGCCUGUGACCACGUCCGGGGGCUCCAGCUGUCCCUGCCCCCCCCGAGCAGCCCCCAGGAGAGGCCACCUCUGUCCCCCAGGCCUGAGCCCCAGAAGCCCACCUGGGCCUGCUGUCCCCCAGCCCCGGCCCGGGUGGGGGCCUGGCACGUCUGGGAGUGCAUGCGCAUCUUCACUCAUCCUUUGUCCUUCCUGGUUUUAUUUUUAUUAAAAAUGUGUUUUCCCUG